AAUGUAUCCGCUGUUUGUAAAUUAUUCAGGUACACACUUUGCUUCGAGGAAGCCCUGUAAUACAAUGUGUUGAUGUUAUAUUUAUUUUUCUAUUGAAUGACGAAUUGCCGAGAUAGCUGCGGGCGUUCACGCGCGCCAUUUUAUUUAAGCGUGUUGUUAAAAAAAAAAAUAAUACCCCUUUUUAUGCUUUGAAAAACGGGGUGUUACAG
rnacentral:lncRNA from 1 species